rnacentral:rRNA from 1 species
GACGAACGCUGGCGGCGUGCUUAACACAUGCAAGUCGAACGGAAAGGCCCUGCUUUUGUGGGGUGCUCGAGUGGCGAACGGGUGAGUAACACGUGAGUAACCUGCCCUUGACUUUGGGAUAACUUCAGGAAACUGGGGCUAAUACCGGAUAGGAGCUCCUGCUGCAUGGUGGGGGUUGGAAAGUUUCGGCGGUAGGGGAUGGACUCGCGGCUUAUCAGCUUGUUGGUGGGGUAGUGGCUUACCAAGGCUUUGACGGGUAGCCGGCCUGAGAGGGUGGACGGCCACAUGGGGACUGAGGUACGGACCAGACUCCUACGGGAGGCAGAAGUGGAGAAUAUUGCACAAUGGGCGGAAGCCUGAUGCAGCAACGCCGCGUGCGGGAUGACGGCCUUCGGGUUGUAAACCGCUUUCGCCUGUGACGAAGCGUGAGUGACGGUAAUGGGUAAAGAAGCACCGGCUAACUACGUG